ensembl:miRNA
CAGGUGGGGGUCCUUAUCUCGCUGGGGCCUCCAGAAAAUGUUCUGGCAGCUGAGAGAAGGAUGGACCCCACUUCAGAUAUAAUUAAG